GUGAGAUAGGAGUCAUCCCAUAAAGGCUUUUCAAGAUUUCUUCCCAGACUUUAAGAAGAUGGUUUGGAAACCAUUUGGCUCCUGAAUUGAGCAAAUUUUCUUUGAAUCUAGAAGAGGAUGAAUUCAUCUGCUGUUACUGUAGCUUUACUGUCAUCUUAAGGAAUUCUGCAAAACCAGCAGGGCUGCUGUCAGGAUGCUGUAUGCUUUCUGUUCACUUUCCUAGGAUACUGUUCCCAGAUGAGACUUCACUGUAUUGCCUCUGAUCUGUGCCAGAAUUACAGAUGUUUCAACGGAAAUGUGCAGAAACCACGCAACUGAAAUAGAAUAAAUUAUGCUUAAAGUCAAGGAAAUGUCCUAAUAAGUGAG